rnacentral:rRNA from 1 species
AGAGUUUGAUCAUGGCUCAGGAUGAACGCUGGCGGCGUGCUUAACACAUGCAAGUCGAACGAGCUAUUUUCUUCGGAGGAUAGCGAGUGGCGGACGGGUGAGUAACGCGUGGGUAACCUGCCCCAUACAGGGGGAUAACAGCUGGAAACGGCUGAUAAUACCGCAUAAGCGCACAGUACCGCAUGGUACGGUGUGAAAAGCCCCGGCGGUAUGGGAUGGGCCCGCGUCUGAUUAGCCAGUUGGCGGGGUAACGGCCCACCAAAGCGACGAUCAGUAGCCGACUUGAGAGAGUGACCGGCCACAUUGGGACUGAGACACGGCCCAAACUCCUACGGGAGGCAGCAGUGGGGAAUAUUGCACAAUGGGGGAAACCCUGAUGCAGCGACGCCGCGUGAGUGAGGAAGUAUUUCGGUAUGUAAAGCUCUAUCAGCAGGGAAGAAAAUGACGGUACCUGACUAAGAAGCCCCGGCUAAAUACGUGCCAGCAGCCGCGGUAAUACGUAUGGGGCAAGCGUUAUCCGGAUUUACUGGGUGUAAAGGGAGCGCAGGCGGCGAGGCAAGUCAGAAGUGAAAACCCGGGGCUCAACCCCGCGGAUUGCUUUUGAAACUGCCCGGCUGGAGUGCAGGAGGGGCAAGCGGAACUCCUAGUGUAGCGGUGAAAUGCGUAGAUAUUAGGAAGAACACCGGUGGCGAAGGCGGCUUGCUGGACUGUAACUGACGCUGAGGCUCGAAGGCGUGGGGAGCAAACAGGAUUAGAUACCCCGGUAGUCCACGCAGUAAACGAUGAAUACCAGGUGUCGG